rnacentral:lncRNA from 1 species
GUGUUAACACCUGAGCAAACAUCCAACCUCAUAUCUUCUUGCAAAUUCUUUGACCUGACAAUUAAACCAUCCUGAUCUAACUUUCGGCCCUAUAUUUUAAUUUUGCUAAUAAAUGUGUCAGUGAACAAAAUCCUCAAAGUCACACAUAAUGAGUUCAUAUUAAUUUCAUAGUAAUUUAAAUAAUUUAAUUACCCCUGAUUUCUUUCAGAACACACUGUUUGAACUCAUGAUAUGUAAAAUUAAGGAUUUAGUGCUCACAUUAUUAUCAACCUAAUUUUUUCCUGCUAUCACCUAUCUUGUAAAUAAACUCCUGGGAAAUACUGUGUAGCAAUGCCAUUGGUAUCCAUGUUUGAAUUAAACAUAAAUCAUAAUUUAAUUGCAACUUUUAUUUUAUAUAUAUACAUCACGAUUAUAAUUUGGCCCUUGGGGAAACUACUCAGCUAAAAAAUUUAAUUUUUUGCUCCAUGCCUAAACCAAGAGCCUAGCUAUGUGCAUACUGAAAAGUAGCAAAGUAUAGACCCCUGGCUUGACAUCACAC